AUUGAACGCUGGCGGCAUGCCUUACACAUGCAAGUCGAACGGCAGCGGGGGAGAAGCUUGCUUUCCCUGCCGGCGAGUGGCGAACGGGUGAGUAAUACAUCGGAACGUACCCUGUAGUGGGGGAUAACUAGUCGAAAGAUUAGCUAAUACCGCAUACGACCUGAGGGUGAUAGUGGGGGACCGCAAGGCCUGAUGCUAUCGGAGCGGCCGAUGUCUGAUUAGCUAGUUGGUGGGGUAAAGGCCUACCAAGGCGACGAUCAGUAGCUGGUCUGAGAGGACGAUCAGCCACACUGGGACUGAGACACGGCCCAGACUCCUACGGGAGGCAGCAGUGGGGAAUUUUGGACAAUGGGCGAAAGCCUGACCCAGCAAUGCCGCGUGUGUGAAGAAGGCCUUCGGGUUGUAAAGCACUUUUGUCCGGAAAGAAAUGGCUCUGGUUAAUACCUGGGGUCGAUGACGGUACCGGAAGAAUAAGGACCGGCUAACUACGUGCCAGCCGCCGCCGUAA
rnacentral:rRNA from 1 species